AAAAUGAAAAGUCGUGUGGAAACUGAGGAGAAUUUUAUUCUGGAUUGGCCUUGUGUGUAGUCUGUGAAGAACUGUGUGCUAUUGAAGAUUCUCUCCUAUUUGUUCAAAAGGCCCAUGCUCAUCAAGAGGCUAGGGAGAGGAGUGUGGAUUCAGGAACCCGAGUUAUCGAAAGCCCAUGUACUGGGUACUACACUGUACAGAAACCCCAAGAAGAGUGAGCAGCAAGUUAAACAUCUUUUACUAAGGGCUGCCUUUCUUUUAACUUUCUUUCUGUGUCCUGGAGCUCAUUGGUCUUACUGUGGCAUUCUUCUGCAAAGGUAGUCUGAUUUCAUUAAGUGAGAGAGUGACAGGAUGUUUCCUGAGAUGUGUUUUGCCAAUAGGAAUACAGCAUACAAUGCAUAAGUUUCCUGAUAUGGCUUUGGUGUCUAUGUUAUGCUGCCUUAAGGGAAGGGUGGCACAGAAUGUUGCUGCCACCAUGUGAAGAUGCUAGGACUAGCUUCCUUAAGGAUGAAAAAUCAUGUGGAGAGAAGCGUCCAAUUGUCCCAGGUCUCCAGCUGAGCCUACCCCUCAAUAACCCUCCAGUUGAAGAAAGCUGUCUAUGUGAAUCUGGGUGAGAUACCAGAAGAA